rnacentral:lncRNA from 1 species
ACUGGACAUGUGUUUAAAAUUGAAAACAGCUGAUGUGCCAACAUCUCCUGUAAUACCUAUUCUACUAUAUGAUUUGGAACAUCAAAGAAGUCAUGAACACAGGGUUGUAAUUAAAUAAGCCACAAACAAAACCAAAAACUAAAAGGCUGAGGAAGGGCAUUGAUCUUGCCUGGCCAGGGACCAAGAGUCUCACCCUGGCUGAUUGAAAGGAGACAAAGG